rnacentral:rRNA from 1 species
UCGAGAAUCAUUCGCAAUGGGCGCAAGCCUGACGGUGCGACGUCGCGUGGAGGAUGAAGGUCUUCGGAUUGUAAACUCCUGUCAUGUGGGAUAAAUGGCCAGGGCAUGAAUAGUGCCUUGGAAUGAUAGUACCACAGGAGGAAGGGACGGCUAACUCUGUGCCAGCAGCCGCGGUAAUUCAGAGGUCCCGAGCGUUGUUCGGAUUUACUGGGCGUAAAGGGAGCGUAGGCGGUUUGGUGUGUCGAAUGUGAAAGCCCACAACUCAACUGUGGAAUGGCAUUCGAAACUACUGAGCUAGAGUACUGGAGAGGAGAGCGGAAUUCUUGGUGUAGCGGUGAAAUGCGUAGAUAUCAAGAGGAACACCGGUGGCGAAGGCGGCUCUCUGGACAGAUACUGACGCUGAGGCUCUAAAGUUAGGGGAGCAAACAG